GACGAACGCUGGCGGCGUGCUUAACACAUGCAAGUCGAGCGGAGCGGCGGACGGGUGAGUAACUCGUGAGUAACUGCCCCCCUCUCUGGGAUAACAGUUGGAAACGGCUGCUAAUACCGGAUAUUGGGGGAUGGCUCGCGGCCUAUAAGCUUGUUGGUGGGGUGAUGGCCUACCAAGGCGGUGACGGGUAGCCGGCCUGAGAGGGUGACCUGCCACAUUGGGCUGGGAUAAGGCCCAGAGUCCGAAGGGGGGCAGCAGUGGGGGCUAUUGCACAAUGGGUGAAAGCGUGAUGCAGCGAGGCCGCGUGGGGGAUGAAGGCUUUCGGGUUGUAACACUCUUUCGCUAUCGAAAGGGUAGGUGGAGAAGAAGCGCCGGCUAACUACGUGCCAGCAGCCGCGGUAAUUC
rnacentral:rRNA from 1 species